ACUUUCAUUAAAACACAGUAGGUGUCUGAACAAGCCUGAUGCCAUCUGAUCUUGGAAGCUAAGCAGGAUCGGGCCUGGUUAGUACUUGGAUAGGAGAUCACUUAGGAAGACUGGGUGCUGUAGGUG
rnacentral:rRNA from 1 species